UACGAAGGGUGCAAGCGUUAAUCGGAAUUACUGGGCGUAAAGCGCGCGUAGGUGGUUUGGUAAGAUGGAUGUGAAAUCCCCGGGCUCAACCUGGGAACUGCAUCCAUAACUGCCUGACUAGAGUACGGUAGAGGGUGGUGGAAUUUCCUGUGUAGCGGUGAAAUGCGUAGAUAUAGGAAGGAACACCAGUGGCGAAGGCGACCACCUGGACUGAUACUGACACUGAGGUGCGAAAGCGUGGGGAGCAAACAGG
rnacentral:rRNA from 3 species